CUAAGCAGGUGGGCCAGGGCGCUGACGUCACUGUGAGCCAGCGGAACACUGCAGAAUAGUGAGAUGGAAAGGUCGGAUCAUUUUACUGACUUGGAUCUUUGAAUCGCGUUCAGCAAAAUGAACGAAUCUUUAUCUAAGUCAUUUCCCCCAAUAGCCAAAUUCCCCCAAGACGUCUACUUAAUUCAAUGUUAUGGAAAAGAACCGCCAUGACAGAAAUUCACAAAUUUAUAAACUGUAAGAAAUGAAAAAGCUAAAAUUUUAGACCAGAAACGCGUCGUGUAACUGUAAGAAUAAAAUUAAAAUGCGACUCCAGCUUGUUUGUAAGGAAGGCUGGGAACUAAUUUCUGUAUCCAAUACAGAAUAUAUUAUAUGUGGCUGUCACGUCACAUGACAAAUGAACGAAAGACUCGGACCGGAGAAGAGACUCGGAGCAAAAUUUAGUCUGCAGCCUGAACGUGUGACGGAGGGUCAGAGCUCCUUAACUGAUGAGUCCAGAGCAGAAAUAGAUGGAGAUAUCUUUGAUGAGCUUGUAAAAUCAGGUGCCCUGAUCUUCAAGGUCUCUACUGGACAGCUUGUAAUAGAUUUUACAGUUAUCCUGGAAUCAACCAGAAGGAAAAGGAGUCCAACAGCCUCUAUGCCUCUAUGGAUCGAGAUGAAGCAAGGCAGGGUAAUACAGGCUAUCUUGCAUGGAAGAUCAAGGCAGUACAGCGAAACACAUCAGUUGUCUCCCAGUGUCAUUCCAGGCCUAUUCAUCUGGAUAGCCCAAAGAGCCAUCAAGAAUCUCUUUUAACUGAUGAACUGCUCUUCUGUGAAGAAUGCAGAAAGGCAUUAUCUACAAUGACUCACUCUGAUGAUGAUGCCUCGAUCAAAGGAAGAAGGAGAGCAACUUUUGAGCAUAGAUAGAAACUGGUUCAUGAUGAGGAUGCUUCAUUUUCAAUCUUGGAUGUGUUUCCUCACUUCUUAGAUGUGCCUGGAUUGAUUGACUGGAAUUUCUCCAUGAUGUUUGGAGAUGAGAUGUCUGGAAAAUUCCUGGCGAAGUGGCCUACAUAUUUCAAGCCCAAAGUAGUUGCUGACUGCAGGACUCUCCCCCCAAAUGCAUAUGUUGAAGAGCUGCUCUCAGCACUUCAGCCUGAACCUGAGACCAGCUGUGGAUGGGAUGGUGAAAUGUCAUCAAUUCUCUUGCUGUUGCAUCUUCUCUCCCCAAAGUCAAGAGGGCAUAAAAAAACAGCGAAGAUCAGUUCGGCUCAAGCUGCAAACAGUCUUGUAUCUUAAGGCAUAUCUUAAGGUACGUCAAGGAAGGAGCCAGUCUCACUACCUUCCUUGAGCAAGCUGAAGCAAGACAACCCUUUCUCCUCUGCAUUGGUGAGAAAAAGAAUAAAAUCAGAAGGUUCUGCAUCAUCCUUGACCAAAAGGCUAUCCUAUGCAAGGCUCAGACAUCAGUGGCAGUUUUUGAUGGGCUGUUUAAAGCUCACUAUGUCUUCAGUCUCUGUGAUGGAGCUCUUUGCAAUUUUUAUACAUUCGUGCAGACCACAAUCUAUAAUAUUGACGUUGGAAGGAGAGCCCACCUGUCAAGGAACUUUAAGCAUGUCUGCUGCAGCGAGAUGGUUGAACUGAGCCUUUGAUCCUUAGUUCAGAGAAGUUUACCUGUUUUGUUUGUAAAGCUGUUGUUGUUCCUCUUUCGGCUGCUCCCGUUAGGGGUCGCCACAGCGGAUCAUUAAUCCGCAUAUUUGAUUUGGCAUAUUUUUUAGGCCAGAUGCCCUUCCUGACACAGCCCUCCCCAGUUUUUUUUUUUAUCCAGGCUUGGGACCGGCACUAAGAAUGCACUAUUGCACACAACCCUAGUGACUGGGUUUGGUUCCCUGGCUGGGACUUGAACCCAGGCAGCAAAGGUGAGAGUGCUGUGGCCUAACCACUAAUCCUCCAGGGAUGUGCUUUGUUUAUAAAGUGCACCAUGAAAAUUAUUUUCACCUUUGUCAGCACUUAAAGUUUCAUCCUGGCAAAGCAUUACAUCUAAAAUGUGGGGAACCGGGAUGCCCUUUAUCUUUUUUUGCACAUACAGUGGCUUCAGGAAGCAUCUCAACACUGUUCACAUAUACACUCUGUGAAUCAACAAGCCAGGAUGUCAACACGCAAGGAAGACACGAAGAGGAAGUUUCAAGUGAUUGGCCAGUAUGUACAGAUACUGUUGACACUUUACAUGUCCCAAUUCCUACACCACAAAACUCUGUUACGACUGAUCAGCUGGCAUCAAUGUCUGGUUCAAUUGUUGCACACUUACCAGCAUCAGGUCUCCCUUGAAGUAUAGUUGAAACAAUAGUUUGGUCUAUGGAAGAAGUUAUUAAUGAUGUUCAAAGCCACGCACAAGAGGAAGUUUUAACAACCUUUUCUCCUGAAACAAAGAGCUCAGACUUCAAAAAUCGAGCACUGAUUUAUUCAAUUUAACAAUCCUUUUUCAGUGGCAAAUAGACAUAAACAUUUUAAAGAAAAAUGUAAAAUAAUGGAGCCUGUAUAAUAUGUCAUUGGUGUGAGGUUGGAUAUAUGAAGAGAUAGCACUACUGGGAUAUACAGCCAGGACCCUGUAACAGACAAGUAUAUAUAUGUACCUAUUCUGGAUACUCUCAAAUAGAUUUUCAAAAGCAAAGAAUUAAGGGAGAGUUUUUUUUUUGCAAGAAAAACACAAUAAAAAUGGUAUUUACAAGGACAAUAAUGAUGGAUCAUAUUUCCAAACCCUUUCUCUAUUCCCACAGCAUAGGUAUGCUCUUCAAAUCCUGCUCUAUUAUGAUGAUUUUGAAACCACCAAUCUUUUAGGAUCUAAAAGGGGAGUCUACAAACACGGCUGUGUAUUUUUCUUUAAAAAAUCUUUUACCCAAGUUUAACUCUGUGUUAAUGAAUAUACAUCUUGCAGUUCUUUUCUAUGCUGAAGAUUUGAAGAAAUAUUGUUUUAAUGGGAUACUAAAGCCUCUUACUGAUGAUCAGAAAAUUUUAGAAGUUGAAGGGAUUCAGCUUUCUUAUUUUGAAAACUCUUUGUUUGGUUCAGUAAUUCAAGUGAAAGGAGAUAAUCUUGCUUUAAAUGACUACCUUUUGUUGAAUCUUUCAGUGGAACACAUUGCUAUCGGUUUUGCUUCUCCAGUAAGGAUGAACGUCAAACUAUGUUUACUGAGGAUCAUCCUGGACUUAUAUAAUGUUCAGACGAACUUCUUUCUGAACAUUGUAAGGCACUAAAUGAAAGUCCUAUACUGCAUUCACAGUAUGGUGGUAAAAAUCCCUGUGUGUUAAAUUCACCACAGUAUUUCCAUAUCAUUGUCAAUUACUCUGUUGAUAUGAUUUGAUGGAAGGUGUUGUACACCGUAAGCUGGUUUUUCAGUACUUUGUUAAAAAGGGCUGUGUCUCUGUAAACAUGCUCUCAGACAGGAUAGAAAGCUUUAGAUAUGGUUACACAUAUCAUAAAAACCGAACAAGCAGAUUAAAAAUGGAUGAUAACAGCAAACACCUGGGUUGGAAUGCUAUCCAAUCAUGAUGUGUUCUUUGCCAUACUCUUAUUUUUGAUGAUAGUUAUUGGUCACUGGAACGUCCUUCUUCUUUUAAUACAAAUUAUCAGCAGUUAUAACUGAUGGAAUAUGUUACUUGAAACAUUUGAUCUGGGAUCAACAUAAUCUCUUCAAAUCACUGUUUCCUGACAGGAAAUUGAUUCCCAAGCACCACGUGAUGAUACACUAUCCAAGAUGCAUUAAAAAAAAAUUGGUCCUCUUAUCCAUAUGUGUUGCUUGCAGUUUGAAGAUAAGUACUUAAUUUUUUCUUAAAGGUCUGAGAAAAAUUUUACAAAUCUAAUAAAAUCUUUAGUAAUUCAGCAUCAUCGACAAUACAAUUGGCUUUUCACUAUGACAAUUAUUGUUUCAACAGAUUUGAAUGUGGCCCUGUAAAAGUAAAAAAACAUUUGUAAUUUGGAUGGUGGGGAAAUGCUUAGCCACAUAUUACAUUUAGAGCCAUUUUCAGGUGUUUCAACUACCAAUUGGGUUAGAAAUUAUAGUUCUGAAUAUAACAUUAAUUUGUUUUAUGUUAAUCUUAUGAUCUCCCUGUGUUUAAAAAGAUCUGUUAUAUGUGGCGAGCAUGCUUUUAUUUUUGCCUGUAGUGUUGAUACACUGUACUUUGUACACUUAAAUGCAUACUGUAUUGAGAAACUGAAAUUGAUCUGUAUCUGUCACCUGUAUUGAUCUGUAUUGCAUUUACUUUAAACUAUUUGAUAAGAAAUACUAUAAUGUGAUUGAUAACAGGGCAUACAGUGCCAUAUUGUUACAUUUUAAAAACAGAUUGAUGAAUGUGUUUACAAUUAAU